UUAGAUAGACUAUCUACAAUUUUAUCCAUAUCUCCAGGCAUAGAUGGUAGCCAGCAAAUUGAAAGUUGAUAAAUCUCUGUGGUAGUGGACUGUUUUUGAUCAGUUGUUCAAUAUUAAACCUGUUAUGUAAAAUUUUUGUAUGUUUAAUGUAAACUAAGAAUAAAACUAGGCUUCAAAUAAAUAUUAAUAUGUCUCUCCUAGACCAAUAAGAAUAUCUUAAUUAUGCUCGUUUGAUGAUGAGCUGGUAAUUUUCAGAUACUGGUUUGAUCAUAAUUAUAAAUUAAUCAUAUUUUUAAAAUCCGAAUGUUUUGAGCCUCACCAUUCUGUGCACACUGUGCGCAUUAUUGAAAUAUCU